UACGAACCGUACGAACGUUAUUCGGAAUCACUGGGCUUAAAGGGUGCGUAGGCGGCGCGGAAAGUUGGGUGUGAAAUCCCUCGGCUCAACCGAGGAAUUGCGCCCAAAACUGCCGUGCUUGAGGGAGACAGAGGUGAGCGGGAACUAAGGGUGGAGCGGUGAAAUGCGUUGAUAUCCUUAGGAACACCGGUGGCGAAAGCGGCUCACUGGGUCUCUUCUGACGCUGAGGCACGAAAGCUAGGGGAGUGAACGGGA
rnacentral:rRNA from 1 species